UACGUAGGGUGCAAGCGUUAAUCGGAAUUACUGGGCGUAAAGCGUGCGCAGGCGGUUAUGCAAGACAGAGGUGAAAUCCCCGGGUUCAACCUGGGAACUGCCUUUGUGACUGCAUAGCUAGAGUACGGUAGAGGGGGAUGGAAUUCCGCGUGUAGCAGUGAAAUGCGUAGAUAUGCGGAGGAACACCGAUGGCGAAGGCAAUCCCCUGGACCUGUACUGACGCUCAUGCACGAAAGCGUGGGGAGCAAACAGG
rnacentral:rRNA from 1 species